rnacentral:rRNA from 1 species
CCGUAUUAGCUAGUUGGUGGGGUAACGGCCUACCAAGGCGACGAUACGUAGCCGACCUGAGAGGGUGAUCGGCCACACUGGAACUGAGACACGGUCCAGACUCCUACGGGAGGCAGCAGUAGGGAAUCUUCCGCAAUGGGCGAAAGCCUGACGGAGCAACGCCGCGUGAGUGAUGAAGGUCUUCGGAUCGUAAAGCUCUGUUGUUAGGGAAGAACAAAUGUGUAAGUAACUGUGCACAUCUUGACGGUACCUAACCAGAAAGCCACGGCUAACUACGUGCCAGCAGCCGCGGUAAUACGUAGGUGGCAAGCGUUAUCCGGAAUUAUUGGGCGUAAAGCGCGCGUAGGCGGUUUUUUAAGUCUGAUGUGAAAGCCCACGGCUCAACCGUGGAGGGUCAUUGGAAACUGGAAAACUUGAGUGCAGAAGAGGAAAGUGGAAUUCCAUGUGUAGCGGUGAAAUGCGCAGAGAUAUGGAGGAACACCAGUGGCGAAGGCGGCUUUCUGGUCUGCAACUGACGCUGAUGUGCGAAAGCGUGGGGAUCAAACAGGAUUAGAUACCCUGGUAGUCCACGCCGUAAACGAUGAGUGCUAAGUGUUAGGGGGUUUCCGCCCCUUAGUGCUGCAGCUAACGCAUUAAGCACUCCGCCUGGGGAGUACGGUCGCAAGACUGAAACUCAAAGGAAUUGACGGGGACCCGCACAAGCGGUGGAGCAUGUGGUUUAAUUCGAAGCAACGCGAAGAACCUUACCAAAUCUUGACAUCCUUUGACCGCUCUAGAGAUAGAGUUUUCCUCUUCGGAGGACAAAGUGACAGGUGGUGCAUGGUUGUCGUCAGCUCGUGUCGUGAGAUGUUGGGUUAAGUCCCGCAACGAGCGCAACCCUUGAACUUAGUUGCCAUCAUUCAGUUGGGCACUCUAAGUUGACUGCCGGUGACAAACCGGAGGAAGGUGGGGAUGACGUCAAAUCAUCAUGCCCCUUAUGAUUUGGGCUACACACGUGCUACAAUGGACAAUACAAAGGGCAGCGAAACCGCGAGGUCAAGCAAAUCCCAUAAAGUUGUUCUCAGUUCGGAUUGUAGUCUGCAACUCGACUACAUGAAGCUGGAAUCGCUAGUAAUCGUAGAUCAGCAUGCUACGGUGAAUACGUUCCCGGGUCUUGUACACACCGCCCGUCACACCACGAGAGUUUGUAACACCCGAAGCCGGUGGAGUAACCAUUUUGGAGCUAGCCGUCGAAGGUGGGACAAAUGAUUGGGGUGAAGUCGUAACAAGGUAGCCGUAUCGGAAGGUGCGGCUGGAUCACCUCCUUU